rnacentral:pre_miRNA from 1 species
CUAGUACUCCCUCCGUCCGGAAAUACUUGUCAUCAUAAUGGAUAAAAGGGGAUGUAUCUAGAUGUAUUUUAGUUCUAGAUACAUAUCUUUUUAUCCAUUUUGAUGACAAGUAUUUUCGGACGGAGGGAGUACUAG